rnacentral:rRNA from 1 species
GGAAUCUUAGACAAUGGGGGAAACCCUGAUCUAGCCAUGCCGCGUGAGCGAUGAAGGCCUUAGGGUUGUAAAGCUCUUUCGCCUGGGAAGAUAAUGACGGUACCAGGUAAAGAAGCCCCGGCUAACUUCGUGCCAGCAGCCGCGGUAAUACGAAGGGGGCUAGCGUUGUUCGGAAUUACUGGGCGUAAAGCGCACGUAGGCGGAUAUUUAAGUCAGGGGUGAAAUCCCGGAGCUCAACUCCGGAACUGCCUCUGAUACUGGAUAUCUUGAGUUCGAGAGAGGUGAGUGGAAUUCCGAGUGUAGAGGUGAAAUUCGUAGAUAUUCGGAGGAACACCAGUGGCGAAGGCGGCUCACUGGCUCGAUACUGACGCUGAGGUGCGAAAGCGUGGGGAGCA